CCCUUAGAUGUCCUGGGCCGCACGCGCGCUACACUGAUGAAUUCAACGAGCACUAACCUGUGCAGAAAUGUUCGGGUAAUCUUGUGAAAUUUCAUCGUGAUGGGGAUUGAUUAUUGCAAUUAUUAAUCAUAAACGAGGAAUGCCUAGUAAGCGUGAGUCAUCAGCUCACGUUGAUUACGUCCCUGCCCUUUGUACACACCGCCCGUCGCUCCUACCGAUUGAAUGUGCUGGUGAAAAGUUCGGAUUGGGAAUAGGAGACGGCAACGUAUCCUGUUUCUGAGAAAAUCUUUAAACCCUCCCAUUUAGAGGAAGGAGAAGUCGUAACA
rnacentral:rRNA from 1 species